AUUGAACGCUGGCGGCAUGCUUUACACAUGCAAGUCGAACGGUAACAGGCCGCAAGGUGCUGACGAGUGGCGAACGGGUGAGUAAUGCAUCGGAACGUGCCCAGUCGUGGGGGAUAACGCAGCGAAAGCUGCGCUAAUACCGCAUACGAUCUAUGGAUGAAAGCGGGGGACCGUAAGGCCUCGCGCGAUUGGAGCGGCCGAUGUCAGAUUAGGUAGUUGGUGGGGUAAAGGCCCACCAAGCCAACGAUCUGUAGCUGGUCUGAGAGGACGACCAGCAAACCUGGGACUGAGACACGGCCCAGACUCCUACGGGAGGCAGCAGUGGGGAAUUUUGGACAAUGGGCGCAAGCCUGAUCCAGCAAUGCCGCGUGCAGGAAGAAGGCCUUCGGGUUGUAAACUGCUUUUGUACGGAACGAAACGGUUCUCUCUAAUACAGAGGGCUAAUGACGGUACCGUAAGAAUAAGCACCGGCUAACUACGUGCCAGCCGCCGCGGUAACAC
rnacentral:rRNA from 1 species